CGAACGGGGUCUUAGUGCGGAAGUUUUCGGAUGGAAGGAUUAAGACUUAGUGGCGGACGGGUGAGUAACGCGUGGGUAACCUGCCCUGUACAGGGGGAUAACAGUUGGAAACGGCUGCUAAAACCGCAUAACAUGGAGAUACCGCAUGAUAUUUCCAUCAAAUAUUUAUAGGUACAGGAUGGGCCCGCGUCUGAUUAGCCAGUUGGCAGGGUAAUGGCCUACCAAAGCGACGAUCAGUAGCCGGCUUGAGAGAGUGACCGGCCACAUUGGGACUGAGACACGGCCCAAACUCCUACGGGAGGCAGCAGUGGGGGAUAUUGCACAAUGGGGGAAACCCUGAUGCAGCGACGCCGCGUGAGUGAAGAAGUAUUUCGGUAUGUAAAGCUCUAUCGGCAGGGAAGAAAAAGCGCGCGAGCGCCCUUGACAGUACCUGACUAAGAAGCCCCGGCUAACUACGUGCCAGCAGCCGCGGUAAUACGUAGGGGGCAAGCGUUAUCCGGAUUUACUGGGUGUAAAGGGAGCGUAGGCGGCCAUGCAAGUCAGAAGUGAAAACCCGGGGCUCAACCCUGGGAGUGCUUUUGAAACUGUGCGGCUAGAGUGUCGGAGGGGUAAGUGGAAUUCCUAGUGUAGCGGUGAAAUGCGUAGAUAUUAGGAGGAACACCAGUGGCGAAGGCGGCUUACUGGACGAUGACUGACGCUGAGGCUCGAAAGCGUGG
rnacentral:rRNA from 1 species